UUUUAGUGCCUUUAUGGACCCCACACAUACGAGUUCACAGGACAUCAGCUCUGGAUAUUAUCUUUAUCUAGUUGAGUCCAGGCCACGUCCUCCCAGCCUAGACCCAUAUUAAUAUUAUCCCAUAUUGAUAUUAAUGCCUGACAUUUGAUUUCUUCUCCUGCAGUUGUCAAUAAACCAGCGCCCUCUCUAUGAUCUACGCAGAUUAUAAGAACGUUUUUGCUCCGCAGCUGACUGGCGGAGCUUUGGUGUUCGACAAACAUGCCUGUAAACUUCUGGGAAACAGUUUUAUUCUCUGAAGAGAGUAAGUCCAACAUAUCUGGUUCAGAUGGUGUUCAAUAUGUUUGUCGAAAGCCAAAAAAAAUAACUUGAUCUAAAAGGAGUGUUAUACCAGCAACUAAAAAUAGAGGUCAGCCAAUGGUUUGGGGCUGUAUGAGCUACAGAGAUGUGGGAGAAUUUGCAAUUGUUGAAGGGAUUACGAAUGCUAAGGAAUAUACGGAUAUAUUGCAGGGUAAUUUAAAGAAUGGUGUUCACAAAUUUCAGAUCAAAGACUUGCAUUUCUUGCCAUAAGAUAAUUCUGACUGAAUUAUGAUGGGCUAUGGGCAAAAGGAAAUAAGGAUGCCUCACCUCAGUAACGUGUCCACUAUGGUUGCGGAUAAAACACAGUUUUUAUGCAUCUGGUGUUCAUGGCUCUUUCCUGCUCAUAGCAUAAAGAUAACUAUCUACAUCCACCUAGGGAAGAGUUAUAUCACUGGGUACACCUGCACCUCCAGGAACUUCUCAGUGUGGAGAUCAUGGGAAAAAUUUAACUUUCAGCAUAAAAUUAAGCAAACUUGCCAUUGGUAUGUGAUACGUUCUUAUGAACAUCAAUCUGACUUCUUGUGUUUCAAAGAUAUCUUAGUUUGUAUGAUUCAGAUCAAUGUACUACUUCCACGUUCAACAUUAAUGUAGUAAAACACAGAAUUAGAAUCGGUAACAUUUUAUCUCUGAAACAACAAAAUAGCUAUAUGAUCCUUAUAUUUCCAUACACGCCUCAUGGACAGAGAAUUUUAUCUCUUUAUUUCUGGUGUUCUGAUUACCAAGCAAAAAUAUCAAAGGGAGAACUUAUCUGAGUUCUAAAAGAACCUCUACAUACAGUAUAUAACCUAUGUAAGACAAUCUUUCUAUCAACAUAAUCAACGUCUUUGCUUGAAAUGUCUAAUUAAGAAACUGGGUAAACUAUGUAUCUUAGGAGCUGUGAUGAUAAGGAUAAUAAGUGUACAUGCCCAUACACACACACAGGUUUAUUGAACAAUAAAAAUGUUUACAA